GCCGGGAUAGCUCAGC
rnacentral:tRNA from 1 species